rnacentral:rRNA from 1 species
UACGUAGGGUGCAAGCGUUAAUCGGAAUUACUGGGCGUAAAGCGUGCGCAGGCGGUUGUGCAAGACCGAUGUGAAAUCCCCGGGCUCAACCUGGGAAUGGCAUUGGUGACUGCACGGCUAGAGUGUGUCAGAGGGGGGUAGAAUUCCACGUGUAGCUGUGAAAUGCGUAGAGAUGUGGAGGAAUACCGAUGGCGAAGGCAGCCCCCUGGGAUAACACUGACGCUCAUGCACGAAAGCGUGGGGAGCAAACAGG